rnacentral:rRNA from 1 species
AUGGAUCGUUGCUGGACUGCCGAGCGGCGUGCUCGCCAUGGACUCCCUCGUGAACCCCUAUGCAAGUUAUGCGACCAAGAGCUCGAGACCAUGGAUCACCUACUGGUGCAAUGUGUCUUCUCCAGAAUCACAUGGCACGAAAAUCUAUCGUGGUGUAGACUCCCGACUCCGCCGCCAUCCAUAGUGGCGCGCUUCUUCACCUGGUGGACCAGCACUGCUAGCGCCGCUCCGCCCAGCCCACGCAAGGAACCAGUUCCCUCAUUGCUCUCAUUGCUUGGUCUCUCUGGAAGCACCGUAAUGAUGUGGUCUUUGAAACCUACGACCAUUGCAUGA